rnacentral:rRNA from 1 species
AGCAGUCCCGCGGGAAUACAGAGGGUGCGAGCGUUAAUCGGAUUUACUGGGCGUAAAGCGUGCGUAGGCGGCUUUUUAAGUCGGAUGUGAAAUCCCUGAGCUUAACUUAGGAAUUGCAUUCGAUACUGGGAAGCUAGAGUAUGGGAGAGGAUGGUAGAAUUCCAGGUGUAGCGGUGAAAUGCGUAGAGAUCUGGAGGAAUACCGAUGGCGAAGGCAGCCAUCUGGCCUAAUACUGACGCUGAGGUACGAAAGCAUGGGGAGCAAACAGGAUUAGAUACCCCUGUAGUCCCUGUCUCUUAUACA